AUUGAACGCUGGCGGCAGGCCUAACACAUGCAAGUCGAGCGGGAACUUCGGUUCUAGCGGCGGACGGGUGAGUAAUGCGUAGGAAGCUACCCGACAGAGGGGGAUACCAGUUGGAAACGACUGUUAAUACCGCAUAAUGUCUACGGACCAAAGUGUGGGACCUUCGUGCCACAUGCUGUCGGAUGCGCCUACGUGGGCUUAGCUAGUUGGUGGGGCAAGGGCCCCGCAAGGCGACGAUCCCUAGCUGGUUUGAGAGGAUGAUCAGCCACACUGGAACUGAGGCACGGUCCAGGCUCCUACGGGGGGCAGCAGUGGGGACUAUUGGACAAUGGGCGAAAUCCUGAUCCAGCCAUGCCGAGUGUGUGAAGAAGGCCUUCGGGUUGUAACGCACUUUCAGUAGGGAGGAAGAGUUGAGUGUUAAUAGUACUCAGCUUUGACGUUACCUACAGAAGAAGCACCGGCUAACUCUGUGCCAGCCGCCGCCGUAACAC
rnacentral:rRNA from 1 species